AUGACCCGACAGUUCGAGCUUUGCUGGACAUCCAUCGAAGAUAUCAACCCGAGGUGUUGUUUUUUGUCGGAGACACAUCCAGAACGCUAUCCGGCAGAGUGCUUACGGCGCUGUUUGAUGAUGUAUCAUCUUAUUGUUAAUCCUAGUGAUGGCAGGAAAGGAGGUUUGUGUAUGCUUUGGAAGCAGCAGGUGAGGGUGCCACAAAUAUUCUCUGAUCCUAACUAUAUUGAUGUGAAAAUAGAGGAUAAAGGUCAUGAAUGCAGGUUCACGGGUAUGUAUGGCGAGUUUAAAUGGACUGAUAAACACAAGACUUGGAGAAGAAUGAGGAGUUUAAAGGUUCAACAUAAUUUGCCAUGGUUAGUCAUGGGGGAUUUCAACGAGAUUCUGUCUAACAAUGAGAAAGAAGGAGGGAAUCCAAGAGCGAUUCACUCCAUGCAAUCAUUUCAAGAGGCGUUGAAUGAUUGCGAAGUAGUUGAUGUG
rnacentral:rRNA from 1 species